rnacentral:rRNA from 1 species
GUCUACGCCAUGCCACCCUGAACAAGCUCGAUCCCAUCUGAUCUCGGAAGCUAAGCAAAGUCAGACCUGGUUAGUAUUUGGAUGGGAGACCAUCAAGGAAGACCAGGUACUGUAGGCA